UGACCGUUGGGCCUCACCUGCCAAUUCAACGUUCUGACUUGGACCCCUUCACCGUGUCUGUGUAGUUGGAGCCGUUUGCUACAUUUUAAUGGAUUAUCUGUGAGUGGCAGACAAACCUUCUUACUAAGAGCCAGACAACAAUAACACAACUGCUCCCUGUAAUGCUUACCAUGCAAGCCCCAUCCCCACCAUCUCAUUCAUAUUCAGCAUUUAUCCGCUUUCAUCAGAGGAGAUAAAGUUU